GUCAAUCUGAGCCAUCGCUAAACACAAAAAAAAUGGACAGCGUUCUCGAACCCUGCCGCCGCCACGGACUGCACGGACGGUUCCGGCUAGCCGGCGAUGGAAGAUGUUGAGCUUGAGUUCUUGCUGCACGCAGUCGACCGUUGCAGGUUUCCCCUCCGGGACGAGUUAGCGGACAGCUUGGAGCAUCCAGAUCCGGUUCCUUUGGUGGUACUCCCGUGGCGUGAUGACACAAGUGCUGAGCCUGCUGACUCGAAUGCUGGUUCUGGAUGCGGACAGCAUGUUGGCGGCGCAGGCACGGGCUGGCCACUGGGCGACGGUAGACGGCGGCGGGAGGCUUCUCCGACACGUUCCGCGCAGUCCACUGACCAUGUAAAUCCGGAGGCGCCGGGCUGGACUAAAAGGUUCGCUUUGGGAAUGCACCGCCAGACAGAGCGCCGUGUCCAUCUCUAGGAUGAGUGCCUUAUAUCAGUCAAUUCUGCACCAGAGAUGACAGAGCAGGGAGCGCCAACAGCAUCCGAACAAGACGAGCUCGGCAAGAAGGACGACAGCCUCGCUGAUGUGUUCGUUGAGCACAUGCCUCCUUGUGGAUGGGAGGCCUCCUCUCUGCGAGCCCGCGGCUACACUGGUGUGCAAAAAAUGUCCCGCCGUUCCAUGGACAUGCCGAAGCACGCCAUGGCCGUCGGCUUCCUCGUCAUUGCUGUUCCACUCAAAGCAGAGCACACCGGUGUUGCCCCUGCUACCUAUUAACAUGGAAGCUAGGAAGGAGCAGACUCAGAAGAGGCCAGAUGUACUUGCAGGUUGCAUGUUGCAUAUUCUGUUACUAGGUUAGAGGUGAAUUUCUUCACUGCUGAUGUGUUUACAGACAUCAUAACAUGGUUGUUCCCGUGGUGUCCCGAGAAUUCAGAGUUUUGAGCUUGCAUGUUGCGACAGAUGUUUGUUACCAGUCUCAUGCAUUUCAAUCAAUAAAUAUUGUUGACAACAAUGAUAUGUUACCUCUGAAAGUUGUACUGCUUAAGCUAUGCAGUAGUCUUUCUCUUUGGGACCUCAAGAUUAAGCAAAGAAAUGGUAACCAAUGGGCAAGGAAAAUAUAAUAUAUGUAGUUUUUUUAACUGUUACAGUUUUAGUCUAUAGACUAUCUGACUGCUCUGUUAAAAAGCAUAAGAAAUGAGCAUCUGUUAUUUCCAAGCCAUGGUUAUUCAUGUUUGCAAGCAUUUACCUGACCCAAAGUGUUCAAAUUACCAUGGAUAUUCUUGCGGCAUUGAGCACUAGCUACUCGGCAAGUUCCAAACUUCAGUUAUAGCAUGUUCCCAGAUCAUUUGGCUACUCAAUUUCAUGGUUUUGUGGUAGUAACAAAGUGAUUAUGACCACAACCAUUCUGGUUUCAUUCUAGUAUUAUGGAAAGUUGUGAAUCUAGAUACUGAUAGAUAUAGCAAUGGUCAGGCUCUCUUUACCCCCUCACCGUCUCCAUUUUCAGCCUACGAGACCAUGAAGUGCCCUCCUGAGCUAUCUAUGGCGAGAUAAGAACGAUCCUUGCUUCUUCAUUAAAUUCCCCCCAAAAAGUUAUGAUCCUGAGUUUUCAAUUUUAUGCAGGACUUGGUGAGGCAAGAACGAUCAAAUUCUAAACUAUAAUCUUGAAAGCAGGAAAACAGCAGAUCUUUAUGAUUGCAAGUACAUCCUUGCUUCUUCAUUAAAUUCCCAAAAAACUUGCAACAUUUCUGGGCUUCUGUAACACAGUAGGUAUGUACUCCUUGCUAGUGAUCCUGUUGCCAAAUUGUAAUGUUUUUUUGGGCAAUUAAUCCGGAACAUUACCUUGCAUACACAACAUGUAUCUGAAUUCCGGUACAGAACUGUAUGUGCUUGCUUCUUCACUUACAAGCUAAAAUAACUUCCAAAUUAGUGGGUCUUCACUUUUCAGUAAUUAAGUAGUUUCAUACAUGAUUCAUGCAGUAAGUUUUGUAAUAUCCAAACUCCAUCCAGACUUGUAGGAAGGUUUUGUUGCUUCAACAUUUUGUUUUUGCCGUGUAGCUACUUCUCGGUCCAGAACCUGAGGACUCUCUUCAGCUUUCUCAUGUAGUGCAUCAACUUUAUAUGAGUAUCUCGCAGAUUGAGACUGAAAAGCUUGUAGCUCAGUUAGUUGAGACAUAAGUCAACAAGCGUUUGUAAGAAUAUGCUGUAGUCAUUUCUAGAAAACUGGCUUAAGACCUAUGAAUUACAAAUUCACUUGUACAGUAAGCACCACCAUGUGCAUGUUGUUUAUUACCUUAUUUAGGAGGAAGGUACUUACAAAGGACAGAAGUUCAAUGCAAUUUGCCACUUUUGUGGCUAUGAAGCCUGACAUCAAAGUUCGACUGCGAUUACGCCUAUGUAAGUUCAACCUCACUUAUCAUGUGCCAUCUGGUAAUUUUGCUUAAUGAGUGGCCUAAUGACAUGUUCAUUGUUUGGUUCCAUGUACUCGGUCAUGUAUGAUAUCACAUAUUAGCUGCUGGUCUGAAUGGCUACAUGGUCAGUGUAAAAAAAAAUAGAAGUCACGGUGGCAAGUAGAAAUGUGGUGUUGCUCCUAUUACAACGAUUGCCAAUGGAUUACUAUUUUUCUAUGUUUUUAAGAUAAUGUUCCUUCAAGAUUGUAGGGCGAGAUGGACUUUUGAAGCGGCAAUUAUGCUAAAGGGCAGAGAAGAGAAUGAAGGUUGAGGGUAAGGAUGGAUGGGGAGAAAUAUGCCACAUUGUCUUCUUUUGCAAGAUACUAAGAGAGAGUGAUUAAAAAGACACGAUGAUUGCUGAGGAAAAAAGUGAAAGAGAGAAUCAAUAUUCGUCGCUGUAUGAAUCGAAAGACGUUAUGUUCAACACCUAUUUCUGAAUUAGAGCUCUAUGAUCAUUUUUUUUA